rnacentral:rRNA from 1 species
UUCAGGGGUAAACCUAAGAAACCCAAAAGAUCGAAUGGGGAGAUUCAUCGUCGACGGCGCUGGCUACCGUUGGUGCGCGAUGCUCCGGGUGGGCCCUUGCGGUUCCAUUAGCGUGUGGCACACCACCUUCGGAUCGAACGUUCCGGCGUCGUAGUCGUGCACUUCUCCCCUAGUAGGACGUCGCGACCCGUUGUGUGUCGGUCUACGGCCCGAGUGGGCGCCUGUCGCGUCGUUUCGGCGCACGCGGCAGACCCUCGGUCGCCCGGCCGGCUGCACGACGGUACACUCACGGUAUCGGGCCGCAACCAGUCCAUUCUCGAAUGUGUGUGCGUCCAACCCGCCGCAAGCUCGGUCAGUUCUUACCCGGAGGUACGGACCCUGUGCCGUCCCCGGGCCUGGCCAGCUGUUAGCAGGCGGUGUCCUCGGACUGGCCAAAUCUCAGAUUACCGGUCAGCGACGCUAUUGCUUUGGGUACUCUCAGGACCCGUCUUGAAACACGGACCAAGGAGUCUAACAUGUGCGCGAGUCAUUGGGAUGCAUAAACCUAAAGGCGAAAUGAAAGUGAAAGUCGGCCUUCGCGCCGAUCGAGGGAGGAUGGGCCGCGUAACCAUGCGGCCUCGCACUCCCGGGGCGUCUCGUUCUCAUUGCGAGAAGAGGCGCACCUAGAGCGUACACGUUGGGACCCGAAAGAUGGUGAACUAUGCCUGGUCAGGACGAAGUCAGGGGAAACCCUGAUGGAGGUCCGUAGCGAUUCUGACGUGCAAAUCGAUCGUCGGAACUGGGUAUAGGGGCGAAA